rnacentral:snRNA from 1 species
AUACUUACCUAGAUGACACCAAUGAGUGAUCAAGAAAGCUUAUGGUGUAGGGUAGUGUCCGUCAUUGCACUUGAAAGGAGUGUUGCUCUAAGGUUUUUCCAAGUAACAAAGUCUAUGUCAUAAUUUAUGGUAGAGAAAACAUAGGUUUGCG